CGAGGUGUGGCUCAGCUUGGUAGAGCGCUACGUUCGGGACGUAGAAGCCGGAGGUUCAAAUCCUCUCACCUCGACCA
rnacentral:tRNA from 2 species